rnacentral:rRNA from 1 species
UACAGAGGGUGCAAGCGUUGUUCGGAAUUAUUGGGCGUAAAGGGCGCGUAGGCGGUGCGGUAAGUCUGAUGUGAAAUCUCCGGGCUCAACUCGGAGUCUGCAUCAGAAACUGCCGUGCUUGAGUGUGGGAGAGGUGAGUGGAAUUCCCGGUGUAGCGGUGAAAUGCGUAGAUAUCUGGAGGAACACCUGUGGCGAAAGCGGCUCACUGGACCACAACUGACGCUGAGGCGCGAAAGCUAGGGGAGCAAACAGG